rnacentral:misc_RNA from 1 species
GAUGAAGAACGCAGCGAAAUGCGAUAAGUAAUGUGAAUUGCAGAAUUCAGUGAAUCAUCGAAUCUUUGAACGCACAUUGCGCCCGCCAGUAUUCUGGCGGGCAUGCCUGUUCGAGCGUCAUUUCAACCAUCAAGCCCCCGGCUUGUGUUGGGGACCUGCGGCUGCCGCAGGCCCUGAAAACCAGUGGCGGGCUCGCUGUCACACCGAGCGUAGUAGAUUUUCAUCUCGCUCAGGGCGUGCUGCGGGUUCCGGCCGUAAAAAGCCUUAUUUACCCAAGGUUGACCUCGGAUCAGGUAGGAAGACCCGCUGAACUUAAGCAUAUAAUAAGCGGAGGA